GCUGGGCACGGUGGCCUGUGCCUGUAAUCCCAGCUACUCAGGAGGCUGAGGCAGGAGAAUUGCCUGAACCCAGGAGGCGGAGGUUGCGGUGAGCCGAGAUCGCGCCAUUGCACUCCAGCCUGGGUAACAAGAGCGAAACUCUGUCUCAGGAAGAAAAAAAAAAACAUAGACCCCGUCUCUACAAAAAACUUUUUUUUCUUUUUUUUUUUUUUUAGACAGAGUCUCGCUCUGUCGCCAGGCACCAGGCUAGAGUGCAGUGGCACAAUCUCGGCUCACUGCAACCUCCGCCUCCGGGGUUCAAGCAAUUCUCCUGCCUCAG
rnacentral:sRNA from 1 species